GACGAACGCUGGCGGCGUGCUUAACACAUGCAAGUCGAACGGAAAGGCCCUGCUUUUGUGGGGUGCUCGAGUGGCGAACGGGUGAGUAACACGUGAGUAACCUGCCCUUGACUUUGGGAUAACUUCAGGAAACUGGGGCUAAUACCGGAUAGGAGCUCCUGCUGCAUGGCGGGGGUUGGAAAGUUUCGGCGGUUGGGGAUGGACUCGCGGCUUAUCAGCUUGUUGGUGGGGUAGUGGCUUACCAAGGCUUUGACGGGUAGCCGGCCUGAGAGGGUGACCGGCCACAUUGGGACUGAGAUACGGCCCAGACUCCUACGGGAGGCAGCAGUGGGGAAUAUUGCACAAUGGGCGGAAGCCUGAUGCAGCAACGCCGCGUGCGGGAUGACGGCCUUCGGGUUGUAAACCGCUUUCGCCUGUGACGAGGCGUGAGUGACGGUAAUGGGUAAAGAAGCACCGGCUAACUACGUG
rnacentral:rRNA from 1 species